UACAGAGGUCUCGAGCGUUAGGCGGAAUCACUGGGCUUAAAGCGUGUGUAGGUGGAUGCCUAAGUACCUUGUGAAAUCCCACGGCUUAACCGUGGAACUGCUUGGUAUACUGGGUGUCUUGAGUCACUCAGGGGCGAGCGGAACAAAUGGUGGAGCGGUGAAAUGCGUAGAUAUCAUUUGGAACGCCAAUGGUGAAAACAGCUCGCUGGGGGUGCACUGACGCUGAGGCACGAAAGCCAGGGGAGCGAACGGG
rnacentral:rRNA from 1 species